rnacentral:rRNA from 1 species
GGGAAUUUUGGACAAUGGGCGCAAGCCUGAUCCAGCCAUGCCGCGUGCAGGAAGAAGGCCUUCGGGUUGUAAACUGCUUUUGUCAGGGAAGAAAUCCUUUGGGCUAAUACCCCGAAGGGAUGACGGUACCUGAAGAAUAAGCACCGGCUAACUACGUGCCAGCAGCCGCGGUAAUACGUAGGGUGCGAGCGUUAAUCGGAAUUACUGGGCGUAAAGCGUGCGCAGGCGGCUUUGCAAGACAGAUGUGAAAUCCCCGGGCUCAACCUGGGAACUGCAUUUGUGACUGCAAGGCUAGAGUGCGGCAGAGGGAGAUGGAAUUCCGCGUGUAGCAGUGAAAUGCGUAGAUAUGCGGAGGAACACCGAUGGCGAAGGCAAUCUCCUGGGCCUGCACUGACGCUCAUGCACGAAAGCGUGGGGAGCAAACAG